AGUGAACGCUGGCGGCAGGCCUAACACAUGCAAGUCGAGCGGCAGCGGGUCCUUCGGGAUGUCGGCGAGCGGCGGACGGGUGAGGAAUACAUCGGAAUCUGCCCUGUCGUGGGGGAUAACCUAGGGAAACUUAGGCUAAUACCGCAUACGACCUACGGGUGAAAGCGGGGGAUCGCAAGACCUCGCGCGACAGGAUGAGCCGAUGUCCGAUUAGCUAGUUGGCGGGGUAAAGGCCCACCAAGGCGACGAUCGGUAGCUGGUCUGAGAGGAUGAUCAGCCACACUGGGACUGAGACACGGCCCAG
rnacentral:rRNA from 1 species